GACGAACGCUGGCGGCGUGCCUAAUACAUGCAAGUCGAGCGAAUCGACAGGAGCUUGCUCCUGUUGGUUAGCGGCGGACGGGUGAGUAACACGUGGGCAACCUGCCUGUAAGACUGGGAUAACAUCGGGAAACCGAUGCUAAUACCGGAUAAUCCUUUCCUACACAUGUAGGGAAGCUGAAAGUCGGUUUUUAGCUGACACUUACAGAUGGGCCCGCGGCGCAUUAGCUAGUUGGUGAGGUAACGGCUCACCAAGGUAACGAUGCGUAGCCGACCUGAGAGGGUGAUCGGCCACACUGGGACUGAGACACGGCCCAGACUCCUACGGGAGGCAGCAGUAGGGAAUCUUCCACAAUGGACGAAGGUCUGAUGGAGCAACGCCGCGUGAGCGAUGAAGGCCUUCGGGUCGUAAAGCUCUGUUGUUAGGGAAGAACAAGUGUUGGAGUAACUGCCGGCACCUUGACGGUACCUAACCAGAAAGCCACGGCUAACUACGUGCCAGCAGCCGCGGUAACAC
rnacentral:rRNA from 1 species